rnacentral:rRNA from 1 species
AUUGAACGCUGGCGGCAUGCCUUACACAUGCAAGUCGAACGGUAACAGGUCUGCGGAUGCUGACGAGUGGCGAACGGGUGAGUAAUACAUCGGAACGUGCCUAGUAGUGGGGGAUAACUACUCGAAAGAGUGGCUAUACCGCAUGAGAUCUACGGAUGAAAGCAGGGGAUCGAAAGACCUUGUGCUACUAGAGCGGCCGAUGGCAGAUUAGGUAGUUGGUGGGAUAAAAGCUUACCAAGCCGACGAUCUGUAGCUGGUCUGAGAGGACGAUCAGCCACACGGGGACUGAGACACGGCCCAGACUCCUACGGGAGGCAGCAGUGGGGAAUUUUGGACAAUGGGCGAAAGCCCGAUCCAGCAAUGCCGCGUGCAGGAUGAAGGCCUUCGGGUUGUAAACUGCUUUUGUACGGAACGAAAAGCCCUGGGUUAAUACCCUGGGGUCAUGACGGUACCGUAAGAAUAAGCACCGGCUAACUACGUGCCAGCAGCCGCCGUAAUAC